rnacentral:rRNA from 1 species
GCAUAUCAAUAAGCGGAGGAAAAGAAACCAACCGGGAUUGCCCCAGUAACGGCGAGUGAAGCGGCAAGAGCUCAAAUUUGAAAUCUGGCCCCUCCGGGGUCCGAGUUGUAAUUUGCAGAGGAUGCUUCGGGUGCGGCCCCUGUCUAAGUGCCCUGGAACGGGCCGUCAGAGAGGGUGAGAAUCCCGUCUUGGGCAGGGUGCCCGUGCCCGUGUGAAGCUCCUUCGACGAGUCGAGUUGUUUGGGAAUGCAGCUCUAAAUGGGUGGUAAAUUUCAUCUAAAGCUAAAUACCGGCCGGAGACCGAUAGCGCACAAGUAGAGUGAUCGAAAGAUGAAAAGCACUUUGAAAAGAGAGUUAAACAGCACGUGAAAUUGUUGAAAGGGAAGCGCUUGCGACCAGACUCGGCCCCGGGGUUCAGCCAGCACUCGUGCUGGUGUACUUCCCCGGGGGCGGGCCAGCGUCGGUUUGGGCGGUCGGUCAAAGGCCCCAGGAAUGUAUCACCCUCCGGGGUGCCUUAUAGCCUGGGGUGCAAUGCGGCCAGCCCGGACCGAGGAACGCGCUUCGGCACGGACGCUGGCGUAAUGGUCGCAAACGACCCGUCUUGAAACACGGACCAAGGAGUCUAACAUCUACGCGAGUGUUCGGGUGUCAAACCCGUACGCGCAGUGAAAGCGAACGGAGGUGGGAGCCCCUUCCGGGGCGCACCAUCGACCGAUCCUGAUGUCUUCGGAUGGAUUUGAGUAAGAGCGUAGCUGUGGGGACCCGAAAGAUGGUGAACUAUGCCUGAAUAGGGCGAAGCCAGAGGAAACUCUGGUGGAGGCUCGCAGCGGUUCUGACGUGCAAAUCGAUCGUCAAAUUUGGGUAUAGGGGCGAAAGACUAAUCGAACCAUCUGGUAGCUGGUUCCUGCCGAA